UACGUAGGGUGCGAGCGUUGUCCGGAAUUACUGGGCGUAAAGAGCUCGUAGGUGGUUUGUCGCGUUGUCCGUGAAAACUCACAGCUUAACUGUGGGCGUGCGGGCGAUACGGGGCAGACUGGAGUACUGCAGGGGAGACUGGAAUUCCAGGUGUAGCGGUGAAAUGCGUAGAUAUCUGGAGGAACACCGGUGGCGAAGGCGGCAUCCUGGACCGGUAUUGACGCUGAGGCGCGAAAGCCAGGGGAGCAAAGCGGG
rnacentral:rRNA from 1 species